rnacentral:lncRNA from 1 species
GUAAACACUGUCCUUUCCAGUAUCAAAAGUCAGCCUUGCCUCCUGAAGAGAGCCAUCUCUGGAGAUGCUAACUCAGCUUGGUAAGCUUUCACUACCCCUUAGGCUUUGUUAGCCUCCACCCUUCAUCCUGUAACUGAACCAUCACUGGUAGGAGUGCAAAUGAAACCCAGCUUAUGACAUGCAUUUUGUGUUCGUCUCAGCUCUGUGAGGUAUAUACAAACUGUUCAGCACUUUAAUCUCAUCGUGCUGUGGUAGGCGAAUGGAAUAUAAUUCACUUCAAGGUCUUAAUCUUGGUAUUUAUUUUAUUCUCAGGGAAUGGCCCCUGUACUAAAGUUAUCAGUAUCUGUUCUGGUUUUGGCAAUGGGCUUAACUUUAUUCACACCCUAUAACCAUCUCAUAGGUACUUUAUUGGUCACUCCUCUUGAUGCUGUUACUGACAGUCUUGAGGAGGGAAGGGUUUUAUUUUAGCUCCCAGUGUGAGAGUGCAUUCAUCAUGGUGGGCAAGGGAGGCAUGGUGGAGCGCAGAGACAGUUUGUCACAUGAUGAGAUGGCAGCAUGGGCUCACUCAGCUUCUUUCUUUAUAUUCAGUCUGGGAGCUCAGCCCAAGUGAUGAUGCUACCACACUUCAGGGUGGGUCUUCCCUUAUCAUCACUUGAACUUUUCUGGAAGAGCCUUCAUAGCUAUAUCCACAGUUGUGCUUCCAUGGUGAUUUUAAACUAUGUCAAAUUGAUGAUGAAGUCAGCCAUGAUAGGCAGCCAUGUUAUAUUAAGCUGUGUGCUCAGGACCAGAAAGAAUUACCACUGACCUGACAUCUAAUGUUCUACCACACCCUAAUAGCAUCAUACUGGACACCAAGCUUUACUUAGCAUAUGGACCAUUGGGGGCCGUUUGACAUCCCCAGUGCAGCACUGAAACACAAUAGAGAAGUGGAGAAAGGAUCAAACUUGGAAAAUGAACUGAAGGAGAAAAAAAAGAUAAGAAAAACUAUAAUGGACCACUCACAAGUGAGUCUUCACUGAGGUUGUCUGAUGUUC